UGCUGAAACACCAGUUCCUGUAUGAUCACAGAAGUUAAGCAGCAUCAAGCUUGGUCGGUACCUAGAUGGGUGACUGCUUGGGAAUAUCAAGUGCAGUAAG